UNCAAAGUGCCACAACCACCCAGCCUG
rnacentral:piRNA from 1 species